rnacentral:rRNA from 1 species
GUGAGGAAUUUUCCGCAAUGGGCGAAAGCCUGACGGAGCAACGCCGCGUGAAGGAUGAAGGCCUAUGGGUUGUAAACUUCUUUUCUCAGAAAAGAAUUAUGACGGUAUCUGAGGAAUAAGCAUCGGCUAACUCUGUGCCAGCAGCCGCGGUAAGACAGAGGAUGCAAGCGUUAUCCGGAAUGAUUGGGCGUAAAGCGUCUGUAGGUUGUUUAAAAAGUAUUCUGUCAAAGAUUAGGGCUUAACCCUAGAUAGGCAGAAUAAACUUUUAAGCUAGAGUUUGGUAGAGGCAGAGGGAAUUCCCGGUGGAGCGGUGAAAUGCGUAGAUAUCGGGAGGAACACCAAAGGCGAAGGCACUCUGCUGGGCCAAUACUAACACUGAGAGACGAAAGCGAGGGGAGCAAAUGGGAUUAGAUACCCUGGUAGUCC